rnacentral:rRNA from 1 species
GACGAACGCUGGCGGCGUGCUUAACACAUGCAAGUCGAACGGAAAGGCCCUGCUUUUGUGGGGUGCUCGAGUGGCGAACGGGUGAGUAACACGUGAGUAACCUGCCCUUGACUUUGGGAUAACUUCAGGAAACUGGGGCUAAUACCGGAUAGGAGCUCCUGCUGCAUGGUGGGGGUUGGAAAGUUUCGGCGGUUGGGGAUGGACUCGCGGCUUAUCAGCUUGUUGGUGGGGUAGUGGCUUACCAAGGCUUUGACGGGUAGCCGGCCUGAGAGGGUGACCGGCCACAUUGGGACUGAGAUACGGCCCAGACUCCUACGGGAGGCAGCAGUGGGGAAUAUUGCACAAUGGGCGGAAGCCUGAUGCAGCAACGCCGCGUGCGGGAUGACGGCCUUCUGGUUGUAAACCGCUUUCGCCUGUGACGAAGCGUGAGUGACGGUAAUGGGUAAAGAAGCACCGGCUAACUACGUGCCAGCAGCCGCGGUGAUACGUAGGGUGCGAGCGUUGUCCGGAUUUAUUGGGCGUAAAGGGCUCGUAGGUGGUUGAUCGCGUCGGAAGUGUAAUCUUGGGGCUUAACCCUGAGCGUGCUUUCGAUACGGGUUGACUUGAGGAAGGUAGGGGAGAAUGGAAUUCCUGGUGGAGCGGUGGAAUGCGCAGAUAUCAGGAGGAACACCAGUGGCGAAGGCGGUUCUCUGGGCCUUUCCUGACGCUGAGGAGCGAAAGCGUGGGGAGCGAACAGGCUUAGAUACCCUGGUAGUCCACGCUGUAAACGGUGGGUACUAGGUGUGGGGUCCAUUCCACGGGUUCCGUGCCGUAGCUAACGCUUUAAGUACCCCGCCUGGGGAGUACGGCCGCAAGGCUAAAACUCAAAGGAAUUGACGGGGCCCCGCACAAGCGGCGGAGCAUGCGGAUUAAUUCGAUGCAACGCGUAGAACCUUACCUGGGUUUGACAUGGAUCGGGAGUGCUCAGAGAUGGGUGUGCCUCUUUUGGGGUCGGUUCACAGGUGGUGCAUGGCUGUCGUCAGCUCGUGUCGUGAGAUGUUGGGUUAAGUCCCGCAACGAGCGCAACCCUUGUUCACUGUUGCCAGCACGUUAUGGUGGGGACUCAGUGGAGACCGCCGGGGUCAACUCGGAGGAAGGUGGGGAUGACGUCAAGUCAUCAUGCCCCUUAUGUCCAGGGCUUCACGCAUGCUACAAUGGCUGGUACAGAGAGUGGCGAGCCUGUGAGGGUGAGCGAAUCUCGGAAAGCCGGUCUCAGUUCGGAUUGGGGUCUGCAACUCGACCUCAUGAAGUCGGAGUCGCUAGUAAUCGCAGAUCAGCAACGCUGCGGUGAAUACGUUCCCGGG